rnacentral:lncRNA from 1 species
CAAGGGGGUCCCCACGCAAUGUCGACAAUACGAUGCAUAUACGAGGACCACACUGAGCUACAGAGGACCACUGUGCAUGUGUCUCUGCACAGUGCAGUAAGGGAGUGGGAGAGCAGGGUGUACAGAGAACAAUGCUCUAUUAUCCCCUAUCAUAAAAGAAAUAGAAGAAGCUCACAGAUACUGGAAGCUGGAUUAUUAUGACAGCCAGGGCUAUGGUGGCUCUGACAUGCUAAUAAUACAAUGCUGGUUGUUGCAACAGGAGAGAGAGAGAGACAGAUCAUGAAACAAGAGCUAUGGGUUUGGCCCCCCUGUUCUGUUGACUCUGCUGCACAUACUGGUACAUUAUCUGUAAUCAGGCCUUCCAUCUGGGGGCUCAUUGUGAAAGUUUCCCUGGCACCUCUCUGCUCAAAGACCCUCUGUGCCUGAAAACUCCCUCCUCCUGCCCACACCACAGUUAUUUACUGUACUCUACAUCAGUGGCGGUCAGUGCCGUUUAAGAUGAGGAGGACGAUUAUUUUUUUAUGAGCAUGGCCUUAUUUCUAUUACAGCAUAUUGGAUGACUGUCAUUCAUAUUCCAUUCACCCAGAAG